GAUGAACGCUGGCGGCGUGCCUAACACAUGCAAGUCGAACGGAGUCCAGCCUUUAAGACCUUCGGGUCAAAGAGGGGAAGACUGAGUGGCGGACGGGUGAGUAACACGUGGGCAACCUGGCUCAUAGAGGGGGAUAACAGAGAGAAAUUUCUGCUAAUACCGCAUAAGCACACACUGCCGCAUGGCAGAGGGUGAAAAGAGAAUCGCUAUGAGAUGGACCCGCGUCUGAUUAGCCAGUUGGCAGGGUAAGAGCCUACCAAAGCGACGAUCAGUAGCCGAUCUGAGAGGAUGACCGGCCACAUUGGGACUGAGACACGGCCCAAACUCCUACGGGAAGCAGCAGUGGGGGAUAUUGCACAAUGGGGGGAACCCUGAUGCAGCGACGCCGCGUGAGUGAAGAAGUAUUUCGGUAUGUAAAGCUCUAUCAGCAGGGAAGAUAAUGACAGUACCUGAAUAAGAAGCCCCGGCUAACUACGUG
rnacentral:rRNA from 1 species